CCCCACACGAGCAUCCCGGGCAAGGGGGAAAUGUACACGUUCAGUAAGGGAGCGCGGCUGGUGCUGGGUCUAGUCGCCUCAGUUUACUGCUUGUUUUCCGGGAAUCCCAGUGGUGGGAGAGUGAGCCUUCCAGAGCGCCGCGAUGGAAACCUUCUAGUCCUCCUCGUGGAAUCCUGCAGAGGACAGGGCAGAGCCUAAGGCAGAACCCAGCUGACACUGGGAAGGAAGAGGCCAUCACAGUGCAUGCCCUGUGGGCUUCAGGGCCUUCCAGCAGAGGAGAUGUAUAUUAAAAAACAUUCUGUCUGAUUUUAUCUAAGUCUUGAACGCUAAGCCCAGACAAACAUUGUGAUCAUCAUGGACUUGGGGUUUCUACAGUCAGCGAGUCUCUUUCUUGCCAUUUCCUCCCCCGCACCCCGCACACCUGGCGAGGGCCGAGGUGGGCCCAGCGCUCCUGCUUGACGUGAAUGAGAUAAAAUAUUGGGGACCAAAUAUACUGCAAUAUACAUUAUUAAGAAAUGUUCUAAUAACAAUUGGUGCACAGAACUAUUGGUAUAAAGAUAUUUCCAAAGAGAGAAACAUUUGCAUUGCAUUAGAUGGCGCUUCCUAGACUAGAGGUUUGUCUUUCUUUGCAGUUGCUUUUGGGACAGGACUCUCACACGGAGCAACCAAGUGCGUGUUGCUAUUGGGACACAGAUUGGAAGUUUAAAGUUCAGGGCUGUCCAAGUCCUUGGGAUUUGUUUGUCCCCAGAAAAGAUCUCAACUUCAAUCAGUUCAAGGUGGGACCUGCCCAGGGUCACCGUUCUCCAGGAUCACCAAUUCCAAGGCAGGCGUUCUGGAAGAUUCUGUGGACCACACUGCAGGCACGGCUAUUGGUGCAGCUUUGGCGGGAUGGCGGGCUUCUGAAUGCACCACUGCCUGGGCCCCCUUGGAUCAGACGCGUUGCAGACUCAGCGGUUGGCUUCAUGUUGGCUGUAGCCUUGGACAGACCCACAGUCCUUCCUGGUGCUGGUAAUCCUUCUGGUGUUAAUUCUUAGCACAGCGGGCUUAUUUCUGUGACUUGUUCUUUGAGCCACAUGGGCCCAUGGGCUGCCUGCCAUCUAGGGACACGCUGUGUGGACCUUUAGAGUCUAGAAGUGGGGCCCUGGGACCUCCCUGCUUCAGCACAGGACAGGAGGCCGAGGACAGUCUGUCUACGAGAGGCCAUGGGGUGCAGUGCGGAGACACGCCUUUCCAUCACAGGGGCACCAGAGCAGGGUCUCCAUGGAUGGGGUCAGCGUGGGACUGACCAACAGCUAUGAGACCCCCUUCCUUUCUGGGAUCUGCCUGAGUUUUAAAAAUCACGGUGAAAACUGGACUGAGCUGAAUGGAGAAGCCCAACGCAGAGGUGCUGACCUGCCCAGCUCGGUCUUUCCAGCUCGGCGGGGUGUGUGGAAGUGGCCUGAAGGUCACAGUCCAGCAGACGGGAGAACUAAGACAGUCAGGAGGAAAAGAUGAUCCGGGUGACCCCCAGGGGAGCCACUCAGGUACUCAGAACCAGGUGUGACCUUCAGCUGUGGUGAACAACAGUUUUCUUGGGGAGGAACAGCAUGUCCUUUCAGGGUGCACAUGCCCUGGGAUCCUUUGAGUCAGAGUCAAGGUCACUUCAUGUAAGAGGCACGACUGUUGUGGAGCUCGAGGAGGCCAGGCAGGCCUGGGGAGGGGCCUCGGUGCUACACAUCCUACAGGGAGUGGUUCGGGUCGCUGCGCUCCCGUUUUACCAGGGGCUCACCCAAGCUGCGGGCAUCCGCAUCGGCCUCACUGCUCCGGUCUUCACUGAUGUCAUCUGUGGGGUCAGUGUAGGGGAGAAAAGGGUGAGUGGGGGGUGACAGGAGGGAGGGAGAGAGAAGCACAUCCUCAGAGGCGCUCAGGCAUGAACAGACCUCAACUCUGGUCUGGUUAACCUGGUCCUUCCCGGCCUUCUUAUCCGUGACUUCUCUUGACCAGUGCUCAUUUGCCUGGGUCACAUUCCUGGCAGGUUUUCCCUUAGUGCUUGGUCCUCCCACCCCUCUGGGGACAGGGAAUGGGCUGGAGCUGGGGGCCUUUCUGCCCCGCUACCCCUUCAAAUCCUCCCUCCCACCUCAUUCCUGGCUGUGGCCCUGCUCCUUGGAGCCUGGCUUGGGUGCCCAUGAAGUGCCACACUCAAGUAGGAGAGGACAGGGCUACUCGGAGGCAUCACUGGGACACCUACUGCUGCCUGGGUGUCACCCUCUGGGUGCCAGCUCCUGAGUCUCUCAACCCACCCGAGAAGCUGCCCUGAUUUCCCACCAGGCCACUCGCAGGAGGAAGCCUCACGGGAAAGCCACGGACUCACCCACCUUUGUCCAGCAGGGUCAGCGACAGGGAGGCGAGGUCGUUGAACUGAAAGGGAGAAGACCAGCAUCAGGCCCUCUGCAGAGGGGGUCCUCAUGAACGCCAGCGGUUCGAACAGGCUUUGCUUUGUGAGUGAGGGCUUCUUACAUAAGGAGGAGCUAUGAUGCUAGGUGUCCCCUCUGCCACUUUCCGGGUUGUGUCUAAGAGCUACUAGAGAGUUGAGGGGGUGCUGACUGCUCAGGCCAGAGAGGAGACAGGGGCUGUGGCCUCUGAAUAGUGACAGUGAAGGAAUAGCUGGCAUUUAUCAAGGGCUUAUUAUGUUCCAAAAGCUGUACAAGGAUAACCUCAUUUCUUCCUCAAAAUAAUCCCACAUGACCCAGAAAUUCCACUCCUGGGCAGAUACCCAAAAUAACUGAAAAUAGGUGUUCAAACAAAAACUUGUACACACAUGUUUACUGCAGCACAAUUCACAAUAGCCAAAAGGUGGAAAGAGCCCAGAUGUCCACCAAUAGAUGAAUGGACAAACAAAAUGCUGAACAUCCACAUACUGGAAUAUUACUCAGCCACUAAAAAGAGCAAAGCACUGACACCCCCUACAACGUGGAUAAACCGUGAAAACAUGAUGCUCAGUAUGAGGAGCCAGAGACCAAAGGCCACAUAGUGUGAUUCCAUGUGAAAUGUCCAGAACAAGCAAAUCCAGAGACAGAUUCAUGGUUGCCAGGUGCUGGGAGGAGGAUGGGAAUGGGGCUUCUCUUUGGGGUGAUAGACUGUUCUGGAAUUAGAUAGAGGUAAUAUUGCACAACACUGUGAAUGUACUAAAUGUCACUGAAUUGUUCACUUCAAAAUGGUUAAAAUAGUAAAUUGUAUGUUACAUGUAUUUUACCACAAUAAAAAAAAAAGGCCUAUGUUUGAGGCCUCAUUCAGAGGCAGGGUAUCCUGCUCAGAGUGAGAAUAAAGAGUUGGCCGAGGAGACAGGAUCUGAACCCAGGCCUGCAGGCUCCAGCAUGAGAGCUCUUUCCUGCCCACUGUCCACUGUGUCAUACUCAGCAGACUCCCUCACCCCUGGAGGCUUCUCUGGUCCUCACCUCUCCCAUCACAGCAAUGGGUGUCUCCCCGGUUGCCUUGGCGACGCGGUGCUCCACCAGAUAGAACAUGUACUCAUCAUACAGCAGGCGUAUCAGGUGGAAGGAGCCGAAGCUGGCAGCACUGCGCAGGGUGAGGUCUCGGAUCACCAUGGAGCU